AGCAUCUCAGGUUUGAUGUUUGUCAAGCCGUCCAUGGACUGGCUAUGCUGAUGUCUAACUCUUGGCUUCUCACUAACAGUAGGAGCAAAUUUAUUUGUUCCUGAAGCCAUUGCUGUUGUUUGUGAUGAACCUGGAGCAGCUGAAGAAGACUCACCCACUUGGAAUUCAGAAGACAGAGUUGAAGAAUUGAACUUAUCCAUGUCAAGGUACAUUGACAAGAUGUCCUCCUCAGUCUCAUCUGACAGAGACGGUCCAUCUAGUCCAACAACGCCAAGA
rnacentral:misc_RNA from 1 species